rnacentral:rRNA from 1 species
CGGGGUGCACCAGGCGCGAAAACUUUGCAAUACACGAAAGUGUGACAGGGUCAUCCCGAGUGCCGACCGCUGAGGUUGGCUUUUACCCAGUCUAGAAAGCUGGGGGAAUAAGGAGAGGGCAAGUCUGGUGUCAGCCGCCGCGGUAAUACCAGCUCUCCGAGUGGUGUGGACGUUUAUUGGGCCUAAAGCAUCCGUAGCUGGCUGAUCAAGUCCCCUGUUAAACCCACCGAUUUAAUCGUUGGCUUGCGGGGGAUACUGCUCGGCUAGGGGACGAGAGAGGCAGACGGUAUUCCCGGGGUAGGGGUGAAAUCCUAUAAUCCCGAGAAGACCACCAGUGGCGAAGGCUGUCUGCUAGAACGCGCCCGACGGUGAGGGAUGAAAGCUGGGGGAGCGAACCGGAUUAGAUACCCGGGUAGUCCCAGCUGUAAACGAUGCAGACUAGGUGUUUGGACGGCCACGUGCCGUUCUAGUGCCGCAGGGAAGCUGUUAAGUCUGCCGCCUGGGGAGUACGAUCGCAAGAUUGAAACUUAAAGGAAUUGGCGGGGGAGCACAAGGGCGAAUCGCG